UUGAACGCUGGCGGCAGGCCUAACACAUGCAAGUCGAACGGUAACAGGAAGCAGCUUGCUGCUUCGCUGACGAGUGGCGGACGGGUGAGUAAUGUCUGGGAAGCUGCCUGAUGGAGGGGGAUAACUACUGGAAACGGUAGCUAAUACCGCAUAAUGUCGCAAGACCAAAGAGGGGGACCUUCGGGCCUCUUGCCAUCGGAUGUGCCCAGAUGGGAUUAGCUUGUUGGUGGGGUAACGGCUCACCAAGGCGACGAUCCCUAGCUGGUCUGAGAGGAUGACCAGCCACACUGGAACUGAGACACGGUCCAGACUCCUACGGGAGGCAUCAGUGGGGAAUAUUGCACAAUGGGCGCAAGCCUGAUGCAGCCAUGCCGCGUGUAUGAAGAAGGCCUUCGGGUUGUAAAGUACUUUCAGCGGGGAGGAAGGGAGUAAAGUUAAUACCUUUGCUCGUUGACGUUACCCGCAGAAGAAGCACCGGCUAACUCCGUG
rnacentral:rRNA from 1 species